rnacentral:misc_RNA from 1 species
UGAGGAUGCUUUGAAUGCUGGAUUUAAGUUGGAUUGCCUAAAGCCGGUGUUACAGAAGGCCAAGGCAGUGUUGGUCUCUUUCGACACUUGUUCCCAGAUUGAGGCAUUGGAGAAGGAAAAAAGUUUUCUUGAAACCCGAAUUCAGAAUGUAACUUGUCAGUUACAAACUCUUGGUAUAGAGCUUAGAUCUAAUACAGAAGGACUUGACUUUGAAUCUAAAUGUUUAGCUAAUAUCUUUGAUUGAUGUCUAUGAAGAGUUCAUCUUCUUUUGUAU